GGGGAUGUGACUCAGUGGUAGAGUGCGUGCCUGGCAGGCAUGAGGCCCUGAGUUCAAUCCUA
rnacentral:tRNA from 1 species